CACCAGAGAACCUCCUCAGUCUUCAGAGUCUAUUGAAGUUCUAACUCCAGCCCUGGGUCCUUUAAAAGGACUGACAACAAAUGUAUCUACUAGAGAUUCUGGCUUUUGACCCCGCCUGUCAACAACUGAGAAGGAAAGGAGAGAUAAGGAGUGAGGGUCUUAUUCUGUCACCCAUGCUGGAGUUCAGUGGCUUGAUCUGACUCACUGCAGCCUCACCCACCCAGGCCCAAAUGAUCCUCCCACUUCAACCUUCCAAGUACCUGGGACUACAG